UGGGCUGUAAGCACAACCCCCACCUGUGGACAUCAGGCCCUCAUACCACCCUCAUGGAGUCUGUUUCUGACUGUUUGAGCAGACACAUGCACAUUUGUGGCCUGCUGGAGGUCAUUUUGCAGGGCUCUGGCAGUGCUCCUCCUGCUCCUCCUUGCACAAAGGCGGAGGUAGCGGUCCUGCUGCUGGGUUGUUGCCCUCCUACGGGCCUCCUCCACGUCUCCUGAUGUACUGGCCUGUCUCCUGGUAGCUCCUCCAUGCUCUGGACACUACGCUGACAGACACAGCAAACCUUCUUGCCACAUUUCGCAUUGAUGUGCCAUCCUGGAUGAGCUGCACUACCUGAGCCACUUGUGUGGUCACCACCUGCAGAACCACUCCUUUAUUGGGGGUGUCUUGCUAAUUGCCUAUAAUUUCCACCUGUUGUCUAUUCCAUUUGCACAACAGCAUGUGAAAUUUAUUGUCAAUCAGUGUUGCUUCCUAAGUGUACAGUUUGAUUUCACAGAAGUGUGAUAGACUUGGAGUUACAUUGUGUUUAAGUGUUCCCUUUUCAUAUGGGUCCUCUGUGGGAUAUGAACCCACAACCCUGGUGUUGCAAGCACCAUGUUCUACCAACUAAGCCACACAGGACUGGUAUAUGGUGUCCUUAUUCAUUCUAUUAUAUACUGUAUCUGUCUGGGCCUCUCUCUUUUUCACACGCAGUCCUCGUUCUUCCUCCAUUUGUAUUCUUUCCUUGUGUUUAUUGGGUGAGUCAUUAACUGAGUGCCCAGUGUUCAGCUCUAGGAACAGUUCCUGUGGUAACAUUCUCUCCCUACUGAGCUGUUACAGCUGUCCCAAUGCUGUGUUGCUGUUUACAAAACAACGUGUCUCUCUCUAGUUUAUAUGUGUGACUAAGAUACAGACAGUGGAUGGGAGGAAGUUGGGAAUGUCCGUAUUAAUCAUGUUAUGUUAACUAAUCCCUGGGCCUGCAUUAAUAAAGCUCUUAGAGUAGGAGUGCUGAUCUGGGAUCAGUUUACCCUUUUAGGUGAUAAUGAAUAAGUGUACUGUUAUGAAUACUGGCCCUGACUGACUCAGUGGGAGAGGGUUGUUGAUUUAAUGUUGAGGUAAGCUGAAACCACAGAAGUGCUGGUCUGAUUCAGACCAAGGCCUCUGAUAGGCCUACAGCAAGUGAUAAGAAGCCCAGGCACUGUGACUGAGUCAUACAGUACCUAAAUUCACCACACUUCUCUCCUUUCCUCCUCCCCCUCUGUUUCUAUCCAUCCCUCUGUUUCUGUCCAUCCCUCUCUUUCUAUCCAUCCCUCUCUUUCUGUCCAUCCCUCUCUUUCUGUCCAUCCCUCUGUUUCUAUCCAUCCCUCUCUUUCUGUCCACCCCUCUCUUUCUGUCCAUCCCUCUCUUUCUAUCCACCCCUCUCUUUCUGUCCAUCCCUCUCUUUCUGUCCAUCCCUCUCUUUCUAUCCAUCUCAUUUUUUCU
ensembl:lncRNA